AGAAUCAACGCUGGCGGCGUACCUAACACAUGCAAGUCGAACGAGAAAGUGGAGCAAUCCAUGAGUAAAGUGGCGACCGGGUGAGUAACACGUGACUAACCUACCUUCGAGUGGGGGAUAACCUCGGGAAACCGAGGCUAAUACCGCAUAACAUCGUGAGAUCAAAGCAGUAAUGCGCUGGAAGAGGGGGUCGCGGCUGAUUAGCUAGUUGGCGGGGUAAUGGCCCACCAAGGCGAAGAUCGGUA
rnacentral:rRNA from 1 species